AACAGAAUAGUUACUUCGAACAUUAUGAUUUUUUUUUGUAGGUCAAUUCAUUGCGAUUAUAAUUGAACUAAAUCUCUGUCCUUAAAUCUAUGUAUAUAUGCACCACGGCAUUGAUUUUUCCAAUAUCUGUUUACGUGUAUAAAGUGCAUGCAGACGGUAUUCACUCGUUUUCUUUUUGGUCAGCAAGCGUGGAUUUCCAACUAGACAACUAAAGAAUCCAAGGAAGGCAAGUCAGACGUGGGGAAAAGUGGGAGUGUGCUGGCUGAGACCAUGUUCUAUGUUCCAGCUGAGAACCGAGAAAAGAAAGCUGCUUUGCAGCUGGAGAGAAAAAAAUAGGAGCUGUAAAGUGGAGGACAGGGGACAGCACGAGGGGGAGAGAAGAAGCACAGCGGAAAAGAGAGUGACAGAGCAUAGUCCACACGGAAGGCAGAAAAUAAAAGGAAAUCAGAAGGCAGCGAGGCUGCCAGAAAGAAAGAAAGAAAAAAAUAUAAAAAAAGGAAGGAAGUAGCGGGAGAAGGGAGUAGAGGGGGGAGCUGCCCUUUGGCAGCUCGCAGACGUGGAGAACGGGAAGAGAGAGGACAGCAGUGGGCUGUCUUGGCAGCCCAGAGGGCAGUGAGCCUCGGGGAGAAAACAGAGAAGCAAAGCUGCCUUUGCAGCUGGGUAGAGAGCAAGCACAGAAAAACUGUGCGGAACGUCAGCAAGUCAGAGGAAGAGAGGGAGGUGAGGACAGCCAAGAGAGUUCAGAGGAAAGAACAUAUAAAAAAACUGCUUUGCGCAGCGUGACAGGGGAGGGCAGUGAGCCUCGGGGAGGAAGACAGACAGAAGCAGCAAGCACUCUCCUCUCUCGGUUAAAUCUUUCCCACUUAUAUUUUACUUUUGGUUUAUUUGUGUUUUAAUAAUGUGUAACUAAUUUUAUUUUGGCUAGAGGUUAAUUCAAAGCCAUGAAUAUAUUUGUAAUAUGAAUUGAUUACCUUCGGUUGUGAUUUCAUAAGUUGUGAUUUCAAUUUACUUAUCCGUUCGUAUAAAAACUGAUUUGUGUAUGUUAGUUGAGAGUGCACGCUUAAUUUACAUGCAUGAAUUUGAUGCUAGAAUAUAAGUGAAUUUCACCUAAUCGUUAUGAACUUAUUUUCACAAGUAGUAAAGGUUGCUAGUCACAAUCACGUUAAGUAAAUUCUUGGCAAGAGUAUCAUGCUUUUCAUAGUUACGAAUGCCUCGUCAAUGCUUAUAGUUUUCACAAAGUUUAAUGAUCUUUGAUUGUAUCUCUAUUGUGCUUUUCACGUAGGGGACUUUUGAAGAAUGUUUUGAAUUGUUGUAUGCGUUUUCCCGUCCAAUUCAAUAACUUAAGGAAAACUUGAAGAUUAAAAAAGUGCUGUUCACGGUUAAUCUGGAGUAUUGAAAUUCACAAUUUAUUGAAAGAACAACUGAAAAUUAAUUUAGGUUGCAUAUGUGUCAUGUGUGGAGAAGAACCCUCUAGCUAGUCUGUCAUUUAUCAUUUUACCUUAAUUUUAUGUUUUUGUCAAUUCUGUAAUUUAAUUAAGUUUAAUUUACUUUUCAUCAAAACCAAACACCCAUCCAUUAUUAAAUUAUAUUAUUUAGUUAGUUUUCUUUAUUGUUAGUCUUUUUAAUUUAAUUUCCGUCCAUUUCAGUUCCUAGUGUUUAAUUUAAUUGUUUUCAUUAUUUUGAGUCAUUUUAAGUGUGUUUCGAGUUAUUAGAGUUUUUAGCCUAGUUUUGUGUCCUUGAGUCUUAUUUAAUAUUUUUAAGUUAAUUUAAUAGAUUAGCAAUCCCUCCUAAUCCCCGGCCUAGAACGAUACCCUACUUACAUCUAUACUACAAUUGUCAAAAAGAGGGUUUAAUUUUGUGUGUUAACUUAUUUUACGCAUCAAAUUUUGGCGCCGUUGCCGGGGAUUAGUAACUUUGCUAAUCCUUUUUAUUUUUGUUUUUGUUAUGUUUUAUAUUGGUGUUUGUGUAUUUUACUUUUGAUAUUUGAUUUAUUUUUCUUUCUUUGAUUUUAGGUUCAAUUGGAGCCGAGGGAAAUUUAAAGGAAAGAUGCGUCCGGCUAAAGACGUU
rnacentral:lncRNA from 1 species